AUAUUGGGCAAUGGGCGAGAGCCUGACCCAGCCAUGCCGCGUGCAGGAAGACGGCCUAUUGGGUUGUAAACUGCUUUUAUACGGGAAGAAAAGGCCCAUGCGUGGGACAUUUCCGGUACCGUAUGAAAAAGCACCGGCUAACUCCGUGCCAGCAGCCGCGGUAAUACGGAGGGUGCAAGCGUUGUCCGGAUUUAUUGGGUUUAAAGGGUGCGUAGGCGGCUGUUUAAGUCAGUGGUGAAAGACUCCGGCUCAACCGGGGCAGUGCCAUUGAUACUGGGCAGCUUGAGUGUUGGAGGGGUACAUGGAAUUGAUGGUGUAGCGGUGAAAUGCAUAGAUACCAUCAGGAACACCGAUAGCGAAGGCAUUGUACUGGCCAACAACUGACGCUGAGGCACGAAAGCAUGGGGAGCGAACA
rnacentral:rRNA from 1 species